rnacentral:rRNA from 1 species
GUCGAGUGACACUGCGCCGAAAAUGUACCGGGGCUAAACAUAUUACCGAAGCUGUGGAUUGUCCGUAAGGACAGUGGUAGGAGAGCGUUCUAAGGGCGUUGAAGCAUGAUCGCAAGGACAUGUGGAGCGCUUAGAAGUGAGAAUGCCGGUGUGAGUAGCGAAAGACGGGUGAGAAUCCCGUCCACCGAUUGACUAAGGUUUCCAGAGGAAGGCUCGUCCGCUCUGGGUUAGUCGGGUCCUAAGCUGAGGCCGAUAGGCGUAGGCGAUGGAUAACAGGUUGAUAUUCCUGUACCACCAAAUUUCGUUUUAAGCGAUGGGGGGACGCAGUAGGAUAGGCGAAGCGUACUAUUGGAUUGUACGUCCAAGCAAUGAGACUGAGUGUUAGGCAAAUCCGGCACUCUUAAGGUCAAGUUGUGAUGGGGAGAGGAAAUUGUUUCCUCGAGUCGUUGAUUUCACACUGCCAAGAAAAGCCUCUAGCUAGAAUUUUGGUGCCCGUACCGCAAACCGACACAGGUAGUCAAGAUGAGAAUUCUAAGGUGAGCGAGCGAACUCUCGUUAAGGAACUCGGCAAAAUGACCCCGUAACUUCGGGAGAAGGGGUGCUCUUUAGGGUUAACGCCCAGGAGAGCCGCAGUGAAUAGGCCCAAGCGACU